rnacentral:piRNA from 1 species
UGACUCCAUCCCAUCCAGUUAUGCUCCC